rnacentral:lncRNA from 10 species
UAACAACUGGACUUUAUUGAGUGUUUACCAUGCACCAAGCCCUGGGCUAAACACUUCAUCUGCAGGCUGUUCGUCUUUACGGCAAACCCAGUAGGUAGGUAUAACUAUCCCCACUCUGCAGAUGCAGAAACGGAGGCACAGAAUGUUUUGGUAGCUAAACAAGCUCACCAGGAGGCUAGAAGGUGGCCACACCUAGCUGGCCCCCCUGACUCCACCAACUGCCUCCCUUUGCUGUAUUGCAUGCAAGAAUGUGACUCCAAGUUUUUCCUUCCUUCUGGAUCCAACUCUGGCUUCACUCUGCUCAGCAACCAG